rnacentral:lncRNA from 1 species
AGCCUUGAAGCCGGUAUAUUUUCUAUGAAAAUCACGUAUCACGAUGGAGCAAUAAAAACGAGAGAAAAAAAAUAUUUCUCUGAAAUCUUCUCUCGAUUAACAAGACGCUCCAGGAGCAGCAAAAAUAAGAGCGGAAAAAUAUAAUUUUUCUUCUCCAACAAAAGGCGUGCUACAGCAACCAAGAAAAGAGAGAUCGGCUUCUCUCCAAAACGACGCCAAUAAAAACGAGAGUAAAGAAAAUAUUCU